GCUUGGAGGCGUCAUUGUGACUCGAAGUUUAGGAAAGUACACAUUAAAGUUAGUGCAAAACUUCGCUAUAUGAAACGUUUUCGAAAUAAAAUCGUUGUGCCAUACAGAGGGAAAGGUCAGUAUUAAAUUUAGCUAUUUUUUAAACGUUUUUGAGUUGUUCUUGUUAAGUUAUUGCUGUUUUUUAAAACACGUGUCUAUAUUCAUUGUAGUAUGUAUUCAAUUUGAUUCCCAUUCAAGCGCUUCGUUUCAGCGCUCAGUGGCUUUAUUUUCUCUAUGUUUCUCCCGAAUUUCCUACCAGUAAUGUUCAAAAAUACCCCAGCUUUGAUUCAUUUAACUCACAUUUAGUUUAUCUGCAAUUUCAGGGCGAAAAUUUGAAGAGAAAGUGAACUAAUUUAAGUCACCGACAUGGUCGAAAUGCCGAAGCACUUGGUAAGCAAAGGCGUUUCGUUCUUGUUUGUUUAUCGUUUUUAAGCUUUCUCAAUAUACCUAGAACGUCUUCUAGCAUUGCUUUGUAACCUUAUGAACACUCUAAGUCAAGUUUAGUUACAAUAUUGGUGAAACUUUUGUCCAUACCGAGCGAAUUGCCGAUUUUAGGCAUGUUCAAUUUCACAUGGAGACGUGGCAUAUAAUUUUCGAGCAUUUUAGCUUUUACAAACUAGUCGUUUAUGUACAAUUGUUCUUUGAGAGGGAAGGCUUAGCUUUUUUAGUUUCUUAGAUUGUGUAAGUUGAAUUUCAUCCAAUAUUUUUACGAAAUUUAAAGGCGAAAUGUCCUCGUGGUUCAUGCCGUAAUUUUAUGCAUAGAUGCACGCACUCUUAAAAUUAAAUUACUGAAUUGGAUAACCACACCUUGUGUAAACGACAUUGAAUAACUCUUCGUUGUUUUGAAACUAAAAAUUCAUUGUCCAUUUUUUUAGACUGCCUCAAAGUCGAUCAUUCCAGUGGCAAACAGUACAGAAAGACCUCUGCACAGAUUUGAAAGGGCGCUCGCCUAGCAGUCGAAGCAAAACGAGAAAGAUUAGAAGACAAAGGACAAAUGAGACCAGCCACCAGCUCGAUUCCUUUGCGAACCCACAGCAUUCAUUGUCAGAUUUCGUUUGUGCAAAGUUUAGAAGAGAUUGCCACUUGUCCAGAGACUGUAACGAAGGCAUAUAAUAACAUACUCGAACUGUCUGUGCCAAAUAUACAAUAUGUAACGAAACGCUCUAAAGCAGAUCCUCGUCAGAUUUCGUUCAAUCAGCCAAUUGUGAAUGAGAUGCAAAAACCUGCUUAGCGACAAUCGACGCGGUACCAUCCAGAGAGCAUAACCAAUACGCCAUACCAUCGCCAAAGAUGUUGUACAUUACAGAAGGUAUAUUUUUCUCGUGAUUCUCGUUGUGCGUGUUCGAAAGUACGUGGGGGCCGCCCUGAGGACGCCCAAAUGAACAAAACAAAUUUAAAUGUGGCAUAUUUUCCUUAAUUUCGCAAUUUAUUCAAAUUUUCUACAUUUCUUGGUAUUUGUGAAAAGCUCUUAACGAAAUCGAAAUGUUUGAAAUUCGGAAGUUUCUAUCUGGGAGUUUGUUUAUUUGAAAGAUAUUUGAAAUGAAAUUUUGAAGUUUACAUCACUUUGAUAUUUGGUUUAAACGCUAGGUAAAAUCAUGCCAGAGGAGUGGUCGACCAUUCGUCGAAGUUCGGUGAUACUUCGGCUCGGAUUUCCCCGACCUACAGUCGAGUUGCUCUGAUCGAUUAUCAUGAUCAACUAGCGCAAAUGUAAGGUCUGGCCAGCCUUGCAUCUGUGCUUUUUGUUCGUGGCAUGAGAUUGGGGCAGCUCGCCUGUAGGCCUGGAAUGAUCAAGCCUAAGUACCACCGAGUUUUGAUUUGUGGCCGACUUUUUGUCUGUAUGGCUUUAUCCAGCGUUUUCCCGUUAUCAUUUUGAUGCAGACUUUGGGAUUUUGGCUUGAAUAUCUUUAAUAUAAACAUUCUUUGAGGUUUAAUCUUUCAAGAAUUUCAUGGUUUUUGACUAGUUAACGUGUUUCUCGCAGAUACUAUAAUUGUAUUAAAAAUAUUGACAAAAAAUUUAAAACUGACCAAAACAUCAUACCAUUGGAUAAAUACGGAUUGCUGUGACACUGUGUACUAUUGAAUAUAUUGUGAACAUUAAUGGAUUACAACGAACACUUAUGGAUUACUAUGAACAUUUGUGGAUAAAAUGUACCUCUCGAUCGACGGUUACCUACCAAUGUACCUUCACAACGAAAGCUACACGACUGCAACGAGAUGACUGCCUCAAGGUUAGAGGGUUUAGUCUGAUAACAAGCAGUUGUUAACUUGUUAUCAGGCAGUAGAGUUAGCCUGCUAUCAGGCAGUAGUUAGCCUGCUAACAGGCAGUAUAUAUGUAGGAUUCGUACCCAGGACACUAAUUUGCAUGUGGUCGGUGAAGUCUCUGGGUUAACCGGUUUAAAAUUCCUGGCGGUCUGUCGUUAGUAGUACAUCUGCACUCAAGGUUGAUUUUUAUUCAGAUGUUUGCAUGCUAAUAAAACUGAAUUGAGGUACAAUUUUGACCUCAGUUAAUCAGAAUUUUGACAUCAUCUGCAAUUGAAAGUCAAUCUUAAGAGGUUAACAUUUGAGCUUUCGGUCACGUGGUUCUUUGCAUGUACUCGGUUCGGUUAUUGGUGGGUUUCAGUAAGUGUUACAAUCUAGACGACUGUCAAUAUCAGAAAUGUUGGCACUUCCUGGAGUAACUUAAUUGCUUCAAAUACAAAACUGCUACAUAAAGUAAAAAAGAGUGAACAUUAAUUUUUCACCUUGAGUAACUCGUACUGAGACCCACUAGCUAUUUGCGGUCUGUUUGUGCCAGUGUUCUUCUCUUUGUGUAAAUGUACUGCUUAGGUGUCUACGUGUCUGUGCAUGGAUAACGCAGCGCGCAGCUAAUAUCCAGAAUAUAGGCAGACAAGUAAAACCUUGCCAGACUUUAAAAUUUUGUUUAUAUCGAUAUGUUACGUUCAUAAAUGUAUAGAAAUAUCAUGAAAUGUGUUAGGUUUUGGCUUGGGGUUAAAUCUAACCCUAUAACCUUAACCUUAAUCCAUUACAUGAUCUGUAUAUUUGUGUACGUAAUAUAUGGGUGUUGCUAAAAUUUUGUUAAAAAGCUGGCAUAGUUUUACUUGGGUAGGAUAACUAAACUGGGUGCAAAUGGUAUCCAUAGCUUAGAGGGUGCAAAUGGUACCCGUAAGAAGAUUGGUGGAUAUCGUUGUCGACAAUUUGUUUUGAAAGAUGUGGAUUCUCUCCGGGUACUACGGUUAACAACUACAAAAAGAUCAGCUUAGGACUGUAAUGACAUAAUUAUUGUAAUGAUAAAUAAUCUAGGCUUUAGUAAAUCUUUCAUCGCCCGUAGUGCAUGUAUAUCGCUGGUUUCGAACGUUAGUUUUCUGCUCCGGGUUAUAUGAAAACAGUUCGCUACCAGAGAUUAGGUCCCCUCUCUGUUAUGGCGUCUCGACGAUGCCGGAAGACAUUACCAUAAGGCAUGCAAACCUUACCCCUGUUUGUGGAAGCUCACCAGGUGCGAUCGGCACACUAAGUUAAGUUAAGCUAGGGGCAUGACCGAGACUCCACAUUCGGGGGUUUCCCUUGCAGGUUUUUGAAACGGUAUGUGUGCGCGCGCACUAGUUAGGAAGGUUAGGCAGCUAGAAAUAGGGCGUGCAUACUAUAAGGCAUGUAUAUACUAUAAUUCAUUAUCGUCAAACGUUUGCGCCAGUAACUUUCUGAGAAGUAUUUAAGACAACAGGAAAAUGGAAUCUAUUUUCCUGCUGAAAAAUACUUACAGAACCAAUUCAAAGUGGAAAAAAAGGAAAUAUUGCGAAAAAGAGAAAAAUAAAAAAGAAAACCGCGAAGCCACUUUGAAUAUAAGCAACAAUAGUCCAAGAAUACUCGUUGCAGAAAAAACAACAACAAAAAAGAAACAGUUUUCUGCCUAAAAUAUCUUGGAUUAGGGGCUUAACGAUAAGAAACGUAGUUCUCGCUCCAAAGUGGAGAAUAGGCUCGUUUCUUUAGGUUGCUAAUGCAUUGCGCGCACGCUUCAUAAAUUAUACUAUAAGUUUUCAGUUGAAAAGACCGCCAGGAAGAAUAGAGUGUUUUCACGUGUUGCUUUGUUGACGGACAAGUAUUUUAAAAUAAUGGUUUUCUUGUUUACUUGAAUUUCGGCACUAACUUGUUCCCAAACAUAGCCGCCGUGAAACACUCUGCAGAUCAAGUUUAUAUACGGUCGCAAUAGCAAUAUAGAAUGUUUGCCAUGUUGCAUUCCGUGUUGUCUUACAUUGUUCGUACAUGAGCUUGGUCGAACCAUGGAUAAUAAAAACACCAUGGUCGUGCGCAGCUAAUUAACAUAAGCGGCGUGCGCGUGCUGCUGUAAUGCGGAGUACAGUCAAUGAGUGUACUCCAUGUGCAAAUAGUGACGUGUGCUCUAUAUAGUCUAGACUUGAAAAACAAAUUAAGGUGCAUGUGGAUUAGAAUAAAGUGCGCAAAGUUUCAUGCAUAAUAAAAUUAAACGCGCCCAGUUGCAUGCUUAGUAUAAUUAAGGGCAUGAAAACCAGUGCAUGCUAAAUUAAAUUGAGUGCGCGCGUUGCAAUUUCCUUGCGCGCAAUAAAAACAAAAUGCGCCAAAAAUCUAAAUAUAGAAAUGCACACAUCACAUCUUCAAAAUGCAUCCAAGUGUACUAGCAGCUUUUACUAACUAUCGUAAAAUAGGUUGGACCAUUGGAUUCAUUUGCCACGCACCUUGUCCUGGACAUAUCUGAAAUAUUUUCAGGUUUCAAGGUUAAGACAAAUAUACCCUUAUGUGGAACAAUUUGUUCAUAAAGUAAAGAGAUAUAUUUGUCUUGCGCAAUCUGUAGACUGAGUUUUCGGGUGGUCUACAAUUUUUUUUUUUGAACAUCUCGUGUGAGAUUUUUAUUUUUAUUUUGAGUUUUUUUUAAAGAUUUUUACUUUUCUGGAUUUUGGUAGGUACGGGUAGGUAUGGGUAGGUAUAGUAUAUACUAUAGUUAAUUCGGUCGCACAGGGUUGUCCCCGGGGUUUUCGGAAUCCGGACUCGUAAUCACCAAGGUUUUUCACCAGAUCUUCUGGUUUUCCUCGGGUGAUUACGUAUUUUUUCGUUUGGCA